rnacentral:rRNA from 1 species
UGUCCUACGGGGCGCAGCAGUGGGGGAUAUUGCACAAUGGGGGAAACCCUGAUGCAGCGACGCCGCGUGGGUGAAGAAGCGCCUCGGCGCGUAAAGCCCUGUCAGCAGGGAAGAAAAUGACGGUACCUGAAGAAAAAGCAUCGGCUAACUCCGUGCCAGCAGCCGCGGUAAUACGGAGGAUGCGAGCGUUAUCCGGAUUUAUUGGGUUUAAAGGGUGCGCAGGCGGUCUGUUAAGUCAGCGGUCAAAGCCCGGGGCUCAACCCCGGCCCGCCGUUGAAACUGGCAGUCUCGAGUUGGAGAGAAGG